AGAUCCUACGGGAGGCAGCAGUGGGGGAUAUUGCACAAUGGGGGAAACCCUGAUGCAGCGACGCCGCGUGAGUGAAGAAGUAUUUCGGUAUGUAAAGCUCUAUCAGCAGGGAAGAAGAAAGACGGUACCUGACUAAGAAGCCCCGGCUAACUACGUGCCAGCAGCCGCGGUAAUACGUAGGGGGCAAGCGUUAUCCGGAUUUAUUGGGUGUAAAGGGUGCGUAGACGGGAAAUUAAGUUAGUUGUGAAAUCCCUCGGCUUAACUGAGGAACUGCAACUAAAACUGAUUUUCUUGAGUACUGGAGG
rnacentral:rRNA from 1 species